rnacentral:lncRNA from 1 species
UCACCGGUAGUAAGAGAAUAGGAGUGAGGCACCAAUUAGAGGUCAUUCUGUGUUGUCAUUUUUGAUUGUUUUUUUUGAGAUUGCCAUUUCUUGUGUUCCUUACAUUUUUUAGAGUAGUAGUUCCAAUUUUACACUCGACAGAGGGAACAUCAUGGCAAUUGAAAGUACAAAGCAAGCUACAGACAAAGAGAAAAGUAGCCAAAUUGUGAAAGCUAAAUGCACAUCAAAACCGCCUUUUGUGAUAAUCAUUACCAAUGAAGUUAGAUAUCUGCUGGAUGCAGAGAAGAAUAAGAGACUUUUAGAAUGCGUAGUUGGGCCAAAGGAAAUAGUAAUUUUGUAGAGUUUGAUUAAGUAGUUUUUAAGAAGAUAACAAUUGUAUGUUUGCGAGAAUGCUGCACAGGUAGGAGUGGGGCUAUGUAGAAUAGAUAUUAGUUUAUUUUUGUAAGAUAUUAGUAAAAUAGAUUAAUAUUCUAUAGAAUAGUCAGUUCAAAAGAACGGAUGAUUGAUUUAGUUAUUAAAAGUGGUUAAUUAUAGGAUUAAGGUUAGAAUUUAAAAAUUAGGAGUAAUUAUAUAGGAGUUGUAGAAGUUUGUUGGGGUACUAGAUUGUGAUAGUCAUGAGCUAGGGUAAGCUUGGUACUAUCUCUUUGUUUCUUUGUUUCUUUAUUGUUGAAGAGUAAUGGAUAGUUUCUAAAUACUGAGAAGUAAAUCUAUGGAAUAAAUUAGAGAUUGAUUUAUAAGUUAUUGAUUAUGUAAUUGGAUUACUGAGUGAUUGAAUUAUAUGAGAAGUUAUUCGAAGAUUGAUUAUGGAUGGAAGAUUAUGAUUGUUGUUUAUUGAGAGUUGUGUGUGUAUUUUGAUAGAAGAAGUCUGUGAUUACAAAAGUUAUGUGAAUUCACAUUAGUUGGAGUGAAGUUUGUUAUUCCUGGUGGUGGAUGGAGAUUAUUAUAUUUUGAGCAGUCUUUUGAGAGUGCAGGAUUAUACACUGUUGUUAUCAGUUGAUGAAGGAGCAUUGUUACUAGAAGAAGGCAUUAGAGUAUUUUUUGGUAUUUUAGUGGUUCGAAUUAUAGUUAAUUGAGUGAUCAUAAUAUGUAAGCUCAUAUGCUUAGUCUUUUCCUGUAUUCGAAUUUUCCUAUACAGGUUUGUUCUAAAAGGAAUUUGUAGAAUAAAUAAAAUAAUAAUUAUAGACACCUAUUCUUUAUAUAUACCGCAUUUACCACAAUUUUCGUCUAAAAUUCAUGACCAAGAUUUUCAGCAUGAAGCAUGCUUCUUGCCAUCUUUACAAUGGUUUGAUUUGUCCU